rnacentral:misc_RNA from 1 species
GGCGAUUAUUACAUGUUCGCUAUUGAUCAUACAUAAUCGUUAAUACUGAUUUACACAAGCUAUAUUGAAUACCAGCAUACCAUCUUGUUUAAAGGUAAGUACAACAAUAGUUCGUGAUAUAUUACAGAGUCUUAAGAAGUGAAUAUACCCAGGGAGGCAUAUCCAUUAUAUCCAAUCGACACCAUGCUGGGAAUAUUCUCCUAUAAACCACUGAUAAAGGUAAACAAAGAUGAAGUUGAAAUACGCCUGUUUGACCCAAAGAAGGACAACUGGAAAGAAGUGAGAAAUAUGGCCUUUACUCCAUUCACAGAGACAACGCCGAAAAUAUUGAAAGACUUGUUAUUUCAUCCCAUACUCAGCAGUGUAAUAGCAAUAUUAGCUGGGGUAUUAUACCAAAUGAAAGGCUCCUUAUGGAACCCAUUCAUAUUUGUAGUGGGAAUCUACCCUACAUUGUAUUUUUUCUUAUUGUGGAGGAUUCCCGAAUCAGAGAUGUCUAAACAGGUGGAUUAUAACAAGUUUGUAGAAUAUUGGACAGAUUUUACUCAUCCUUUAUGGCUUCUUUUCCACAAGGGGAGACUAAUAGGCAGUGUCGGACUUAAAGAACUUGAUGAGGACACUAGAGGAGAACUCGUUCGUUUGGCAAUAGCAACUGACUACAGGCGUAAUGGACUAGCAGAAAUGUUGGUUAAUACUGUAAUAGAGUAUUGUGAAAAGUACAAAUAUAACGAAUUGAUACUUGCGACCAGUGCAUAUCAAACAGAGGCGAUGAAACUUUAUGAGAAAAGUGGAUUUACACUGUAUGAAAAGAUAAAGGUAUAUUUCAUCAAACCCAUAUUUGGAGUGGAUGUCAAUUGUUACAGAAUUAAGUUUCCAAGGAAAUAAUACCAUUUUUAUUCUGUUUUAUUUCACUUCUUUAAAGAGAACUUUUCUACCACGUUCAGUCUGAAGAAGUUCUCAAUCAGAGUCUUUUGGUUUAGUAUACUCAGAAAAAUAGUAUUGUAGGUUGAUUUAAACCAGGCACUAACAUAAAUUUAUGCCACAAAACUAGGUGCCAUUUAAUCAUUUUGAAAUAGCCCGGAAGCCUCAUUUUGAGUCAUCAUUAUUAACCAGUUUAUCAGCAUGAAAACCGUGUAGUUUAGCUUAUCUGUCAUUUUCAGAAGACCAUAAGACAGUAAUUACUACUUGCUUCUAGGCUUCAGGGUAUCCUUGCAUAUAGCUAAUAGAAAGGAUAGGAAUUAAUGAAUAAAGCAUCAUACUCACAAUAUACAAUUGUGGUAAUAAAAGAUACAAUAC